rnacentral:rRNA from 1 species
GACGAACGCUGGCGGCGUGCUUAACACAUGCAAGUCGAACGGUGAAGCGCCUUCCUUUUUGGUGGGUGUGGAUGAGUGGCGAACGGGUGAGUAACACGUGAGUAACCUGCCCCCUUCUUCUGGAUAACCGCAUGAAAGUGUGGCUAAUACGGGAUAUUCUGGGUCUGUCGCAUGAUGGGUCUGGGAAAGAUAUUGUUUCGGUGGGGGAUGGGCUCGCGGCCUAUCAGCUUGUUGGUGGGGUGAUGGCCUACCAAGGCGGUGACGGGUAGCCGGCCUGAGAGGGUGGACGGUCACACUGGGACUGAGACACGGCCCAGACUCCUACGGGAGGCAGCAGUGGGGAAUAUUGCACAAUGGGCGCAAGCCUGAUGCAGCGACGCCGCGUGAGGGAUGGAGGCCUUCGGGCUGUGAACCUCUUUCGCCAGUGAAGCAGGCCUGCCUUGUUUGUGGGUGGGUUGACGGUAGCUGGAUAAGAAGCGCCGGCUAACUACGUG